GAUGAACGCUGGCGGCGUGCCUAAUACAUGCAAGUCGAGCGAACGGACGAGAAGCUUGCUUCUCUGAUGUUAGCGGCGGACGGGUGAGUAACACGUGGAUAACCUACCUAUAAGACUGGGAUAACUUCGGGAAACCGUAGCUAAUACCGGAUAAUAUUUUGAACCGCAUGGUUCAAAAGUGAAAGACGGUCUUGCUGUCACUUAUAGAUGGAUCCGCGCUGCAUUAGCUAGUUGGUAAGGUAACGGCUUACCGAGGCAACGAUGCAUAGCCGACCUGAGAGGGUGAUCGGCCACACUGGAACUGAGACACGGUCUAGACUCCUACGGGAGGCAGCAGUAGGGAAUCUUCCGCAAUGGGCGAAAGCCUGACGGAGCAACGCCGCGUGAGUGAUGAAGGUCUUCGGAUCGUAAAACUCUGUUAUUAGGGAAGAACAUAUGUGUAAGUAACUGUGCACAUCUUGACGGUACCUAAUCAGAAAGCCACGGCUAACUACGUG
rnacentral:rRNA from 1 species